GGGGGCGUAGCUCAGUUGGGAGAGCGCUUGAAUGGCAUUCAAGAGGUCAGCGGUUCGAUCCCGCUCGCCUCCACC
rnacentral:tRNA from 1 species